UUUUUGGCUUGACGGGUCAGCAUCAAUUUCGAUCCUUGGAUAAUGGCAAGGGAAAGGUAGCACCUUUUUAGGUGUGUUAUAGUCCUCUGUCGCAUGCAAGGGUUGGGAUUGAGGAACUCAGCACGCACCUCCGGGUGUCGGGGUCUUUGCCCACGUUACGUGCUUAGGAUGCUGGCGUAAUGGCUUUAAACGACCCGUCUUGAAACACGGACCAAGGAGUCUAACAUACCCGCGAGUGUUCGGGUGGAAAACCUGUGCGCGUAAUGAAAGUGAAAGUUGGGACCUCUGUCGUGGAGGGCACCGACGCCCGGACCAGACCUUCUGUGACGGCUCUGCGGUAGAGCGUGUAUGUUGGGACCCGAAAGAUGGUGAACUAUGCCUGAAUAGGGUGAAGCCAGAGGAAACUCUGGUGGAGGCUCGUAGCGAUUCUGACGUGCAAAUCGAUCGUCAAAUUUGGGUAUAGGGGCGAAAGAC
rnacentral:rRNA from 1 species